UCCAUUCACGUGAGGAGGAGAGGAGAUCCAAAAAGAAAACUUUGAGAUUCCUAUAUAAAAACCAACUUCACUGUAUAAAAGGGGACGCUCACAUUUUCUAUUGGGACCUCCACUUAGAAAUUGGUCCAUCCUCUUCCAACAGCUGUAAACCCACUCAUACCAACCUAGAACCUCACAUCACUCACCUCUCUUCUCUCUCACCUCUCUCGAAAAGAAAACAGAGAAGAAGAAAAAGCUUUUCAGCUUUUCCUCUUCACCACUCUUCACUCAAUAAAUCACCCUCAUCACCGGAAUCAUCACGGCCACCACCACCUUACUUUUUUUAUUUUUCCUUACCAAAUCACGAAAAAUCCAUCACCAACACCGCAACCCACCGAUCUAUCCAAUGUUUCUCCGUUUAACAAACAGACUCCCCGCCGAACCUCCGCGCAAACGGCCUUCCCACAACCUCGCCUUCGCUCACCCUUGACGAGACAGGGAGCCAUGAUUGAUAACUUAUCACUAGCAUCCUUCGGUUGGCAAUUCAGAUAGAAAGGAUAGGCAUAUAAUUUGUUGAUGUCAUUCUUAAGAAGCAAGGGCAUCAACUGACUCGCUACCAACCUUUUUCUCGCAAAGUUUAAGGGGCGGAAAUCGAAACGAGGAUAUGCAAGUUUGGACCAAAGUUAUGGAUUGGCUUGGGAACCCACCGCCUGCUUCGACAGUCAAAAGCCAACAAGCAACGACCUCGUGUCGAUGUUCCAUUUCAGCGACACAAAUUCAACAACGUUUACGGUAACGAUGUUUGAAUUCCAUGACUGAGUUAUUAAGAUCGUUUGUUAAAUGUAUGAUUUUAUGUGAAUUUGGCCUCAGGACAUUGUUGUUGUUUCAUGUUGUGACCAUUGAUGCCGUUAUAAAUUCGUAAAUAUUAUGCUCUUGGAA